UCCAGCUGCUCCAGUGGGGAUGAUCCUGCCAUGAAGAUGUCCUGGGAUACCUGAAGCCCCUGCUGAUCCUCCUGUACCCCCAGGUGAUGUGCUGUUCCUGGUAGAUGGACUGCAAAAGGAGAGCUCAUCCCCACGGAGGUACAGGAUCAGGGAAGCUGAUGCCAGAGCUGCCUGGGAAGGCAGGGAGAGGAUGGCUUGAGUGGCUGCCCGAGCCAGUCCCCUGAGGAGGACAGUGCCAGGCCUGGCACCGAGGCCACAGGGAUGCAGGUGGCCCUUGGAGUGCCCCAGCCCCGCUGUCCCGCCUGGUUGUCCCUGUGCUCCUGGCACUUGGCUGGCUCCUGGGAUGUGCCCUCAUGGUUUACAUUGUCUUCUCCUGAUGGCAGACAGAAGAAUUUACAGGGAUGUUGAUUAGAAGAACCUGGAAGUUCAACUGAGAUUUCUAAUGGCUAAAAUAAGUGUCCUGGAAGAGAGGGGACAAACCCUGCAGUCUCUUGGAGAGCUGGAGAUUCCCAAUCCCUGCAGCAAGUGAGGACCUCCAGCAUCACUGUCAGUCACUGCCAGGUGAGAACAUCCCCUCCAGCUCACCUGUGCAGGUGGGCUGUGUGAGCAGACACCUCAUUAUCUCCUUUUCAGGACCAGUUCCUGGGUUUCUAAGACUGAGCCCACCCUGACUGAUCCCAGCUCUGACUGACACAGGGCCAGCAGAGACUCCAUAGAAACCAUGUCCAUGUUUUCACCUCUCAGCUCAUUUACCAGGCCUGGAGGGAAACGUUCUGAGAGAUCCUGUUGGCCCAAGUGGCUCUUUGGGUGUCUCACAACACUGGAAAUCGAAUGUUUCCAAUUAAAAUGUUACAGAGCUAAAAUAUAAACACUACAAUCUGGUUUAGCUUUACCUGAUUUUUGAGAGCAGAAAGAUCUGAUUUGGCAGAGCAAAACAAAAUAACUUUCUAGGCUGGCUUCAGUAUUGUCAGACUGACUCGCUGUGUACAAAGGGAAAGUUCCUGCCAGUUUUGUAGAGUAAUAAAAAGAGGAUUAUUCCAAGAAAUUAUGCA
rnacentral:lncRNA from 1 species